rnacentral:rRNA from 2 species
GUCGCGGCCCUAAUCAGCUUGUUGGUGAGGUAACGGCUCACCAAGGCGACGACGGGUAGCCGGCCUGAGAGGGCGACCGGCCACACUGGGACUGAGACACGGCCCAGACUCCUACGGGAGGCAGCAGUGGGGAAUAUUGCACAAUGGGCGAAAGCCUGAUGCAGCGACGCCGCGUGAGGGAUGACGGCCUUCGGGUUGUAAACCUCUUUCAGCAGGGAAGAAGCGAAAGUGACGGUACCUGCAGAAGAAGCGCCGGCUAACUACGUGCCAGCAGCCGCGGUAAUACGUAGGGCGCGAGCGUUGUCCGGAAUUAUUGGGCGUAAAGAGCUCGUAGGCGGCUUGUCGCGUCGGUUGUGAAAGCCCGGGGCUUAACCCCGGGUCUGCAGUCGAUACGGGCAGGCUAGAGUUCGGUAGGGGAGAUCGGAAUUCCUGGUGUAGCGGUGAAAUGCGCAGAUAUCAGGAGGAACACCGGUGGCGAAGGCGGAUCUCUGGGCCGAUACUGACGCUGAGGAGCGAAAGCGUGGGGAGCGAACAGGAUUAGAUACCCUGGUAGUCCACGCCGUAAACGGUGGGMACUAGGUGUGUGGCGACAUUCCACGUCGUCCGUGCCGCAGCUAACGCAUUAAGUGCCCCGCCUGGGGGAGUACGGG